rnacentral:rRNA from 1 species
CCUACGGGUGGCAGCAGUGAGGAAUAUUGGUCAAUGGGCGCGAGCCUGAAGCAGCCAAGUAGCGUGAAGGAUGACUGCCCUACGGGUUGUAAACUUCUUUUAUAAAGGAAUAAAGUGCGGCACGUGUGCCUUUUUGUAUGUACUUUAUGAAUAAGGAUCGGCUAACUCCUUGCCAGCAGCCGCGGUAAUACGGAGGGACCGAGCGUUAUCCGGAUUUAGUGGGUUUAAAGGGAGCGUAGAUGGGUUGUUAAGUCAGUUGUGAAAGUUUGCGGCUCAACCGUAAAAUUGCAAUUGAUACUGGCAGCCUUGAGUGCAGUUGAGGUAGGCGGAAUUCGUGGUGUAGCGGUGAAAUGCUUAGAUAUUACGAAGAACUCCGAUUGCGAAGGCAGCUUACUAAACUGCCACUGACAUUGAUGCUCGAAAGUGUGGGUAUCAAACAGGAUUAGAUACCCCAGUAGUC